UAACCAACAAGAUUUCUUUUUAGCAAUUAUUAACCUUUUUUAUUAACAACUUCACUGAGUUAUAAUUCUCAUAAUAUGCCACACAAUUCACCCAUUUAAGGUGAGUGACGCAAUGGUUUUUAGUAUACUCACAGAUGUAGGCAACCACCACCUCUGCAACUUUAGGACAAUGUUAUCACCACAAAAGGAAAUCCUGUAUCAUUUAGCACCUCCUCACCCCUAAUUCCCUUAAUCCUAAAUGACUGUUAUCUAUUUCAGUGAUCUACUUAUGUUUCUAUAGAUUUGCAUCUUCUGGAUAUUUCAUAUAAAUGGAGUCAUAUAGCCUGCUGUUUGUUGUAUCCGGCUUCUUUCCCUUAUGAAAUUAUGAAAAUAUAAUAUUUUAAGAUUCACCAUGUGGUGGCUUAUAUCAGAGUUUCAGUCAUUCCUUUUAAAUUAGAAUAAUAUUUCAUUGUAUAGUGUUAACUCCUUUUAUUUUUCUGUUCAUCAGUUUAUAACCAUUUAGGUUGUUUCAUCUUUUAGUUAUUUUGAAUAAUGCUUUUGAAAACAUUCAGGCACAGGUUUAAGUUUGAGCACCUGUUUGUAAUUCUUUUGGGUGGAUACCUAAGAGUGGAAUUGCAGAGUCAUAAGAAGAAUAGUCAAACUGAUUUCCACAUCUCUUAACUCUUACUCCAAAAACGUAAUUUUAGAAAAUUGGAUAACAUUUCACACUCCAAAAUAAGGCAUCCCUGCUCAGUUUGAUUAAGUACACUGCUCAAGUCUCAAAGGCAUGUAAUACAGACAUGCAUUCAUUUGGAAUUAUUAUGCAUUUAUGCCAUCUUCUCAUCUGUUUUCUUUGUUAAAGGGUUUAUAGGGUGACCUUAACCAAAACAUUGUCUAGAAGCUUGUAUCUAAGGACAAAUAUAUUCUGUGUUAAAAUUAGUGUUUUAGGAGUUCCUGCUACAUUACAGUGGGUUAAUAAUCCAGCUUGUCUCUGUGGAGGCACCAGUUUGAUUCUCAGCCCAGGACAGUGGGGCAGUGGGUUAAGGAUCUGGCAUUGCUGCAGUCGUGGCAUAGGUCACAACUCUGGCUUGGAUUCAAACCCUAGCCUGGGAACUUCCACAUGCCAUGGGGGCAGCUGAAAAAGAAAAAAAUAGACAGAUAAAAUAAAAUUAGUGUCCUAGGAAAACGCAUCUUUCUGGUUGCCCACAGCACCUGGACCACCUGAUGAGGAAGGCUUACCCUCCCUGUCUCAUCCAGUAGCUUCAAAGGGCAUUUAACAUAUAACAAGGGACUCUACCAAUCCUGGAACUGCAAGGCUAAGUAGAAGGGACCCUUCUUGAUUUUUUUUUUCCUCAGUCUAAUAGGCUCCGGCUACCCAUCAAGCAAGUAUGUGGAAGUUUGUGGAGGGAUUUAGAUUCUGGAGGGAUUUCCAUUUCUCUUUCCUCCCCCUCUUGCAUGGAUCACAAAUCUUGCACAUAUCUAAGACUUCAUCAGGCAAGUGUUCAAUAGUCAAGGAGCAUCCUGACUCAAGCUGAAUUCCUUGGCUUGAGAUUAUUCUAGUGGGGAAAUUGGCCAAGCACAAAGUACCAAGUAAAGUCUCCAGCCAAAGCAACUCAGAGCAGCGCAGGCCUUGAGGCAUCACAGGAGUGACAAAGGAGCUCAAGGCCAAGGACAGAAGUAUAGUGAAAUCGUAAAUAAAGGAGUUCCCGUCGUGACCCAGUGAUUAAUGAAUCCUUGGCCUUGCUCAGUGGGUUAGGGAUCUGGCAUUGCCAUGGGCUCUGGGGUAGGUUGCAGAUGCAGCUCAGAUCCCAUGUUGCUGUGGCUGUGGCAUAGGCCGGUGGCUAUAGCUCCAAUUGGACCCCUAGCCUGGGAACCUCCAUGUGCGGCAAAUGUGGCCCUAGAAAAGACAAAAAAAAAGUAAUUAAUUAAUUAGUUUAAUUAAUUAAAUAAAGGCUUUGAGUUUGUAAAAAUAAAAAAUAGGUUGUGAGUUAGAAUGCAUGUUGGGUCAGGGUAUAUGGAUUAAGACAGAGAUUAUUAUUAGGGCCUCCGUGGGGACUCACUGUUACAAUGGCUCUUUAUGCUGACCCAUGAGACUGACCACCUUGCUCAAGUAACAUCCUGUUUUUGCUGCUGGUGCCUACUUUCCCAAGACUACAAGACCUGCCCUCCUGUGGGACACUACAUACCUCCAGCUUUCUCAAGAUUACGAGACCACCCUACCAUGAGACACCUCCGACUUUCUCAUGACUACAUGACCACCAGAGUUCAGCUGCAGGAGAAAGAUAAACUAACCUUCCCCCACUUUAGGGAAUCAAUUUCCCAUCUGUCAGGUAUAAGAAGGCCCCACCAGAAGGGUGGGGGACUGGCUUUUUCCAAGGGUCAGUCACCCUCUCCUUUUCCUUCUAAAUUUUCUUCUCUUUGCCUGAACACCCAGCUUGUUUUCUUUUUUCCACAUUUGCCUUACAGCUAUAAAUACUAGGGUGUCUGUGGUAGGCAGCAUUCUAUGGUUGUUCCCCUAAAUCCCUAUCCUCGGGCUUACAUGCCUUGUAUAAUUUUCUCCUGGAGUACAGUCAGAAUCUGUGACUAUGAUGAGAUAUCAAUCUUAUGAUUGGCAAAGGUGAAGGGCUUUUACAAGUACAAUUAAAGUCCCUAAUCAGUUGGUUUUGAGUUAAUUAAAAGGGAAAUUACCAUGAGUGAGCCAGACCUAAUCAAGUGAAGCCUUGAGGCUAGCCUUGAAGAAGUAAGCUGCUUUGUUGUGGAAGGCCAAUGGAAGAAGCCAUUGAGGGAUGGAAAGCCACCUCUAGGAGCUGAAAGUGACCUCUGACCAAUAGCUUGGAAGAGAAUGGGAAUCUUAGUUAUACAGCUGUAAGAAUGAAUUCUACCAACGACCUGGGGGAGCUUGGAAAUAUAUUUUCUGACUUGAACCUCCAGCUGAGGAUGCAGCCAUCAAGACCUUUAUUUCAGCCAUGUGAGGCACUGAGCAAGGAAACAAACUAAAAUGUGCCAGAUCCCUGACCCACUGGAACUGUGAGAUAAUAAAUUAAUAUUGUGAUAAGCUGCUCAAUUUGUGGCAAUUUUUUAGGUGGCAAUAGAAAACUAAUACCGUGCCAAAGGCCACAGUGUGUGUGUGCAUGCACACUGUGUGACUUCAGAAAACAUGGUGGCUUUGAAACAUUGGCAGGCAUACUUUGCAGUUUCCCCACUAGAAUAAUCUCUCCAUAUUUACUUGCUAUUUUCCCAUAUGUCUUUUGUGCAGUUAUCCUUGACUUGAGUUUUAUGUCUAAAUUGCUCUUUUCCUGCUUAUUUUAUAUGCACACCUUCGAUAGUUAAAUUUAAUAAAUGUUUUUUGUUCGCAUCGUGAUGAUGAUGCAAAGAUCUACACAAAGGAUUUGCACGUUAAUGUCUUUGGUACUCAUAAGUGGAGUUCUAAAACCCUAAACACUUACAAACACUUUUCUGUUCUGAAUCCCAAGUUGCACUUACAAGCAGAAUAAGGAAGAGAAGAAAUUAGAGACCUGCUACAGUGAGAUUUAAAGUUCCUAGGGGAGAGGUAAACCUAACAGAAAACCGGCAGUGUGUGUGUGUAAUCACACAGACCAUUGAGAUGUGGGUGUUACUGUUUAGUUAGCCCCGGAAUUAUAUAGAGGCCUUAAGCAAUUCUGUUUUGGUGAUUUCAGAGCACAGAGUUGUCUAUAUCUGUAUCAUGGGAUGUGGUUUGAAUAAAAAUACACUGCAAGAGCGACUCGAAACUCUCCAUUGCAUGGCAGUGCAAGCACCAAAGUCUCCCAUUUCAUACAAAGACAGAUGGACAACAAGUGUCCUUCUGUUCUUUGUACAGAGCUCAAAAUGAAUGGGAUUUAUCAGGAGUUUACUCUAAUCCCUCUUCUUAAGGGCCUCUGGCUGUUAGUUUUGGCUGGCAAGAGAAGGGAACCAGAUGCUUAAAUGCCCAAAGGCAGAGUUCCUAGGUUAAAAAAAGUUUUUAAAUGAGUUCUUGUAUUUGCCUAUGGCCUUCUAAGCAUAAACAUUUCUAAUUGAUAUCAGUGGACUUGGAUUAUGAAUUAAUCUAAACAGUCAGCUCUUGCUUCUCCAAACAAAACCAGAAAGUGUCAACUAAAUCUUUAGUAAUAGGUGUAUCUGCGCUUGUUAUCCUGGAGAAUAAAGCCAGUAUCAAAAUUUCUAAAUAACACUGAUAAAAAUGUGUUCACGAAGUAGACUAUUUUCAUUUUUAAAUUCUUAUAAAAUGCACUCCCUCCUGGCAUAGACCAUCCUGCAUGAACAUACUUGCAAAGCCUCCAGCUGUUCCUCUUCAUUUUCCCCCCAUCAAUUCCAACUAUCAUCUUAAAAAGGCACAAUAGGAUUUUCCCAAAUAAUCACCAACACAUGAUGAAAUUACUUCUCCUGAUCUAAGAACUCCAGCAAAGAAUUUGUAGGAGAUUACGAUCUCAUUUUCAAAUAGUGCCCUAUUCAGAUGUAACUACAACCACCCUACAGUUAGAGAAAUAAUUUCUUGUUGCUACACUUCAGGAGGUCUCCUGUUAUCUUAACAACUGUCAUGAAAUUCUAAAAGAUAAAUUAAUUUACAUUUGCUCU
rnacentral:lncRNA from 1 species